rnacentral:rRNA from 1 species
UCUUCGGAGAGUUUGAUCCUGGCUCAGGACGAACGCUGGCGGCGUGCCUAAUACAUGCAAGUCGAGCGGACUUGCUGGAGCUUGCUCCAGCAGGUUAGCGGCGGACGGGUGAGUAACACGUG